rnacentral:rRNA from 1 species
UGGGGGAUAUUGCACAAUGGGCGAAAGCCUGAUGCAGCGACGCCGCGUGGGGGAUGAAGGCCUUCGGGUUGUAAACUUCUUUUGCUCUGAACAAGGCGCACCAUGGGGUGCGUUGAGUGUAGGGGUUGAUUAGCGCCGGCUAACUACGUGCCAGCAGCCGCGGUAAUACGUAGGGCGCGAGCGUUGUCCGGAAUUAUUGGGCGUAAAGGGCUUGUAGGUGGCUGGUUGCGUCUGUCGUGAAAGCUCAUGGCUUAACUGUGGGUUUGCGGUGGGUACGGGCUGGCUUGAGUGCAGUAGGGGAGGCUGGAAUUCCUGGUGUAGCGGUGGAAUGCGCAGAUAUCAGGAGGAAUACCGGUGGCGAAGGCGGGUCUCUGGGCUGUUACUGACACUGAGGAGCGAAAGCAUGGGGAGCGAACAGG